rnacentral:rRNA from 1 species
UUGAUUUAUAUAUAAAGUCUGACCUGCCCACUGAAAAUUUUAAAUGGCUGCAGUAAUUUGACUGUACAAAGGUAGCAUAAUCAUUAGUUUUUUAAUUAAAAGCUUGUAUGAAAGGUUGGACGAAGUAAAAUCUGUCUCUUUUUAAUAUAAUUAGAAUUUAAUUUUUAAGUAAAAAAGCUUAAAUUUUUAUAAAAGACGAGAAGACCCUAUAGAGUUUAAUAAUUUUAAUAAAAUAUUUAAUUAAGAUUUAUUAAUUUUAUUUAAUUAAAAUUAUUUUAUUGGGGUAAUAAAAAGAUUAAAAAAAUUCUUUUUUUUUAAUACAUUAAUUUAUGAAUAUAUGAUCCAUUUGUAGUGAUUAAAAGAUUAAAUUACCUUAGGGAUAACAGCGUAAUUUUUUUAAAGAGUUCUUAUCGAUAAAAAAGUUUGCGACCUCGAUGUUGGAUUAAAGAUUAAUUUAGGUGUAGAAGUUUAAAUUUUUGGUCUGUUCGACCAUUAAAUCUUUACAUGAUCUGAGUUCAAACCGGUGUAAGCCAGGUUGGUUUCUAUCUUUAUUAAUUUUUUAUAUUUUAGUACGAAAGGACCAAAUAUAAAAUAUAUAAAUAUUUUUAUUUUGAAUAUUAUUAAAUUAGUUAUUUUGGCAGAUUAGUGUAAUGAAUUUAGAAUUCAUUUAUGUAAAUAUUUUACAAAUAAUACUUGUUUAUAAAAGAUAUAAUUAUUUCUUUUAUUUUAAUUAUUUUAUUAAUUAUUUGUGUUUUAGUAGGUGUAGC